rnacentral:rRNA from 1 species
UACGUAGGGUGCAAGCGUUAAUCGGAAUUACUGGGCGUAAAGCGUGCGCAGGCGGCUUGCCAAGUCAGAUGUGAAAGCCCCGGGCUCAACCCGGGAACGGCGUUUGAAACUGGCAGGCUAGAGUUUGGCAGAGGGGGGUGGAAUUCCACGUGUAGCAGUGAAAUGCGUAGAGAUGUGGAGGAACACCGAUGGCGAAGGCAGCCCCCUGGGCCAAAACUGACGCUCAGGCACGAAAGCGUGGGGAGCAAACAGG